UCUUCACCGGUCAAUCUAUGUUCCGACCUUCACCUAUGGUCAUGAGAUUUGGCUCAUGACCGAAAGAACGAGAUUGCGAGUACAAGCGGCCAUGAUGAGUUUCCUUUGCAGGGUGGUUGGGCGCUUCCUUAGAGAUAGGGUGAGGUGCUUGGUCCCUCGGCAGGAGCUCGGAGUUAAGCCGCUGCUCCUCCAUGUCAAAAGGAGCCAGCUGAGGUGGCUCGGGCAUCUUUUCCGGAUGUCCCCUGGACGCCUUGCUGGAGAGGUGUUCCGGGCA